rnacentral:rRNA from 1 species
UACGUAGGGGGCAAGCGUUGUCCGGAAUCAUUGGGCGUAAAGCGCGUGUAGGCGGUUCAGUAAGUCUGCUGUGAAAGUCCAGGGCUCAACCCUGGGAUGCCGGUGGAUACUGCUGGGCUAGAGUACGGAAGAGGCGAGUGGAAUUCCCGGUGUAGCGGUGAAAUGCGCAGAUAUCGGGAGGAACACCAAUGCGAAGGCAGCUCGCUGGGACGUCACUGACGCUGAGACGCGAAAGCGUGGG